GAUGAACGCUAGCGGCAGGCCUAAUACAUGCAAGUCGAACGCAUCGCAAGAUGAGCGGCGCACGGGUGAGUAACACGUGGGAAUGUAUCCUUUGGUUCGGAAUAACGUUUGGAAACGGACGCUAAUACCGGAUGAGCCCUUAGGGGGAAAGAUUUAUCGCCGAAGGAGCAGCCCGCGUCUGAUUAGGUAGUUGGUGGGGUAAAGGCCUACCAAGCCGACGAUCAGUAGCUGGUCUGAGAGAAUGAUCAGCCACACUGGGACUGAGACACGGCCCAGACUCCUACGGGAGGCAGCAGUGGGGAAUAUUGGACAAUGGGCGCAAGCCUGAUCCAGCCAUGCCGCGUGAGUGAUGAAGGCCUUCGGGUUGUAAAGCUCUUUCGCACACGACGAUGAUGACGGUAGUGUGAGAAGAAGCCCCGGCUAACUUCGUGCCAGCCGCCGCCGUAAGAC
rnacentral:rRNA from 1 species